AACGCACAUUGCGCCCCUUGGUAUUCCAUGGGGCAUGCCUGUUCGAGCGUCAUUUGUACCCUCAAGCUAUGCUUGGUGUUGGGUGUUUGUCCUCUCCUUUUGCGAUUGGACUCGCCUUAAAGACAUUGGCAGCCAGUGUAUUGGUCUUGAAGCGCAGCACAUUUUGCGAUUCUUGCUAAUAGUCACUAGCAUCCAGUAAGCCUCUUUAUCACUUUUGACCUCGGAUCAGGUAGGGAUACCCGCUGAACUUAA
rnacentral:misc_RNA from 1 species